rnacentral:snoRNA from 1 species
AACCCAUGGUGAGGGCACCUUCUCAAAAGAUCCUUGUAUCUCUCCCAUGCAUCAUAGAGCGUUUCUAGAUCAAUCUGCAUAAAAGAAGAGAUGUCAUUCCUUAACUU